AGGAGGCAUGUAUUAUCAUGGCUAUCACACUCCUUCAUAAAGCAACAAUAGAUCUCCUUCCAGAAACAUCAUUUUCAAAAGGAGCAGGUACCCAGCUGUAAACAUCAUGAAGGAUGUGACGGGAGGGCGGCUUCCCUCCUUUAGGAGCUGUAUAUACAUUAAUCACUGAAUCACCAAGCCAUGCUUAAUUGCAAGCUGUAUAUCACACAAAUCCAUGGAAUGCAGAAAAGGUAUUACACCACUAAUUACAGCCCACACCAGCACCCCCACCUGAGCUGCCUGAAAGAAAAACGGAACUGUCUCAGAUCUGCAGCCAUCCCAAGCUUCUGCCUCAUUGCCACUAAGUGAGUUCUUAUAUGUGGCUUCCUGUAACCGCCCCCCUUCCCUUCCUGGGGACAACAUGUUGAAAUCCAUUACUCCUUGAGAGUUUACAGAACUGUUUAAAUGAUAAAGAAAAAAAAAACCUGCAGUAUAUUUUGCUUUGACAAAAUUAUUGAUUUAAAUCCCAUACAAUAGCACAAUACUAUUUAAAGGUCAACCCAAGAAAAAUGAGUUUACACCCGAACAGAGCUGAGCUUAUCUGUCAUGAAAGUGUAAUGAUGUGUUUAUUCCCUCACUAGGGUGUAUAUAUUUUUCAGGAAGAUAUAACAGUCUACUUGCAGGUGAAAUCUGCUCUUAAAUGGGAAUUUCAGGAGAUAUUUACAUUUCAGAUGGUGAAGCUGAUAUCCAAAGCCCUGAGACCCAUUUCUGUACUUACUAGUCAGAUGAGUAUUUAUUUUCAUUGCCUAAAAAUUAUUCUUCUCACUCCCAGGUCAAAAACGAGACAUACACUUGAAAACUAUAACCACAACUCAUAGGGGAAUCUUUCAAGAAGGCUAAGGUUGCAAACAGAAUGCAAAGGUUGCCAUGAUAGCAGUCUCUUCUUAUGUUUUGGUUUCUCUCUCACAUUUCAAAAACACAACAAUAAAAUGUUCUAAGUUCA